AGCGAACGCUGGCGGCAGGCCUAACACAUGCAAGUCGAACGAACUCUUCGGAGUUAGUGGCGGACGGGUGAGUAACACGUGGGAACGUGCCUUUUGGUUCGGAAUAACUCAGGGAAACUUGUGCUAAUACCGAAUGUGCCCUUCGGGGGAAAGAUUUAUCGCCAUUAGAGCGGCCCGCGUCUGAUUAGCUAGUUGGUGAGGUAACGGCUCACCAAGGCGACGAUCAGUAGCUGGUCUGAGAGGAUGACCAGCCACACUGGGACUGAGACACGGCCCAGACUCCUACGGGAGGCAGCAGUGGGGAAUCUUGCGCAAUGGGCGAAAGCCUGUCGCAGCCAUGCCGCGUGAAUGAUGAAGGUCUUAGGAUUGUAAAAUUCUUUCACCGGGGACGAUAAUGACGGUACCCGGAGAAGAAGCCCCGGCUAACUUCGUG
rnacentral:rRNA from 1 species